AGAUGAUCUUCUGAGCUUUCAAUUUAAUUGCUGUCACUGAAUUGAUAAGAUUAAUUAAGAAAACUAAUUCUGAAUUUCUACCUUCCCUGUCAGAACAGAUUUCUGGUCAAGUCAUAAAAGAUCCAGUCCAUGCUAGGGAUAUUAGUGGUACUAGAAAAGCAUCUUUGAAAACUAUUACUUUCCAAGUAUGUUGUAACUCUAGAAAAGUAUGUAAAACUUUGGAUUGAAAGGCAAUCUUGGGCAAAAUGUUACAUUUUAUUCUGACUCUAUUUUUCUACUGACACUAUUUUUGGUACAAAGAGUUCUUUCUAUUGCAGAAAAUAUAUUUCAGACCCUUUGUCCUUGCCAGACAGCAGUAGAGCAAACAGCUCCCCACCACCACUUUUUUUUUUCUUUUUUUUUUUUUUAACUUAACAAACUAGGAACAUACAGCAGGGAGAUGAGUAAGCAGGCAACAAAGGAAGGUUUCCGAUUAACAAGCAGAAUGAAACCAGCACCCCCACAUCAGAGUAAAAAAGUUCCAUGUUAAAAUUCAACUUAUCUAAAGCUCAAUGUGUUUAAGGAAUGAUGUUCUUCUCCAGGCCAGUUCUCCCUAUGCACUUCUCUUGUUUUCCUUCCACCUGACCAAGCAGCAGCCAGAAAAGCAGGACUUUCAUUACAUGCCAAGAAUAGGGCUCCAUGAACCUCCAUCUUGUCCACCAGUGUCCUGUGAAAGACACCAUGAUGCUGUGGUCGUAACCACCAAUACUAAAAGAAAAUGGAUUGAGAAGGAAAGCAAUUCACAGCAGGAUUCCAGGCACUCCAGGUACCACUCAGCACAUGCCAUGUGGUAAGUGAUAAACAUACUUAUGAAGGGCAUAAGUAUGGAUAGGGAUUUGGAGAACAGCGUCAUUAAAUGUAUUCUGCCAAACAAGUGAUAGUCCAACUAGGGAAGAAAGAAGAAAAAAAGAAAAAAAAAAAAGGGGGGGGAAAUCUUUAAUCUUUUUAGAAGUCCUGAGGAAUAACUGCAAUGUGCCAAAAAUCAGACUUCAUGUGAAUCAAUUGUCAAUCAAUUACAACAAUAACUGAAUAUGAUAAAGCAGAUGACUUUUUCUCAAUCUAUCAUAAAUUUGAUACAUAAUUAUCUUCUUAUGAGAAAAUGGGGAAAACAUCAGUCUGUAGGUAAUUCAAAAUGUGUCACAUUCUCUCACCAUGUUCAUGUAUAAGUAUGCCCCACAACAGUGUUUUUCAAUAAUGUUGGUGUGUCCAGCUUUAUCAAAGAGAAAAUACAUACCCUUAUAGUACACCCAGACAGGCCCCGCUUUGCGUGCCAGUGAUUAACUCAUACCCAAACUGAAAGAAAUUCUGUUGUGAAAAAGCAUGCCAAACUUUUUUUUUCUAUUACAUAUACACAAGACUAUAACAGAAGGAAAAAAGAAAAAAAAAAAAAAAGGCUCCACUUUUUGAGAAUGUACUACCCUAGCUCUAUUUAACAAAUUAUUAAUUAAAAGUACUUAGUAAAAGUGCAGUGUUGUGCACUUUCCUUUCUCUCAUGCUUUUUCUCCACAAUAUUGGAAUAGUAUCAGAUUUAUACUUGAAUUUUUCUUACACAGAAUAGAUUCAUUUAUGAGAUCACAUUUUUUUCCAUAGCAACCAACCUUCAUGUGAGAGAUUCAAGAUGUGUGAGCUUAAUGACAGGUGAAUAGGAGCAGGAAAUGUUAGUGAUGUUGAGAAGGAGAGGAUGGCAUAGAUCUGUCUAGUCCUCUAAUCUAAAAUUGCUGUGAAAUUCUGUAAAAUAUCAGCUUUGGUAAAUUGAGAAAUAAAAGAUACUUUUCUCAUAUUCA
rnacentral:lncRNA from 1 species